rnacentral:ncRNA from 12 species
GAUCAUUGAGGGUAAAACAGGCAUUUACCGCACCCAACUUUAGGGUAUAAAGAGAUGUGGGAUACGCCGCCCCACCAAUAAUC